rnacentral:rRNA from 1 species
UGCAGUCGAGGGGUAAUUCUGCUUUCGGGCAGAAACGACCGGCGCACGGGUGCGUAACGCGUAUGCAACCCUACCCACAACUGGGGGAUAGCCCGGAGAAAUCCGGAUUAAUACCCCAUAAUGCAGGGGUACUGCAUGGUACUAUUUGCUAAAGAUUUAUCGGUUGUGGAUGGGCAUGCGUCUGAUUAGUUAGUUGGUGAGGUAACGGCUCACCAAGGCGACGAUCAGUAGGGGGUCUGAGAGGAUGAUCCCCCACACUGGUACUGAGAUACGGACCAGACUCCUACGGGAGGCAGCAGUAGGGAAUAUUGGUCAAUGGGCGGAAGCCUGAACCAGCCAUGCCGCGUGCAGGAUGACGGCCUUCUGGGUUGUAAACUGCUUUUAUCAGGGAAGAAAACGGUCAUGCGUGACAGAUUGACGGUACCUGAAGAAUAAGCACCGGCUAACUCCGUGCCAGCAGCCGCGGUAAUACGGAGGGUGCAAGCGUUGUCCGGAUUUAUUGGGUUUAAAGGGUGCGUAGGCGGAUUAU